GACGAACGCUGGCGGCGUGCCUAAUACAUGCAAGUCGAACGCUGUUUCGAACGGGUGAGUAACGCGCAGGUACCUGCCUCAUCGCGGGGGAUAACUAUUGGAAACGAUAGCUAAUACCGCACAUUUUAAGAUUGACCUGCGUUGUAUUAGGUAGUUGGUGGGGUAAAGGCUCACCAAGGCGACGAUACAUAGCCGACCUGAGAGGGUGAUCGGCCACACUGGGACUGAGACACGGCCCAGACUCCUACGGGAGGCAGCAGUAGGGAAGCUUCGGCAAUGGACGGAAGUCUGACCGAGCAACGCCGCGUGAGUGAAGAAGGUUUUCGGAUCGUAAAGCUCUGUUGUUAGAGAAGGGGUAACUAACCAGAAAGGGACGGCUAACUACGUGCCAGCAGCCGCGGUAAUUC
rnacentral:rRNA from 1 species